CGGGGGUGUUUCGUUUCAUUUUGAUAAAAAUUGGAACUAUCAUUCCCGAUAGUUCAUUGUCUAGUUCAAUUCGCGCAUAGAGAGAGGAGAGAAGAGGAGCUCGCCAUCUACGACCUGUAGCGAUAGCGAUCGAUUUUGGGGUUCCAUAUCUUCGACGUUCAACAUUUUCAGGAGGAAUUUCUUCGAAACCCUCAAAUAGAUCAUAUAGAGAGAGCUCGGUUCACUUCUUUGCCUAGUUCGUCGGCUUCUUCAUAGAGAAUCAGGAAAAACUUUUGAAGCCAGUGCUAAAGGAUUUCUAUAUCGACUUAAAUGAGCAUGCAAUGAUGGGUGGAAUAUAGGGGAGGUAUGGAGCGAUUCGGAGGAAUUGAAUCACACACUUUUUGAUAGCACUACGACAACAUGGCCUUGGAGCAUAGUCCUUCUUUCUCUAUGUUCAUAAUUUUGUAUCUAUACCAACCUACAUGCUCAGGCCUACAAACGAAGUAGUUCUACUCAUGCGACUUAUUGCUACUAAUAUCAUUACCAAACUCUCACACAUAGACAUCACUAAUCUGAACAUAUAUGUACUUAGCCAUAUAUAAUUAUUGAAUUUUCUUUUCUUUUGAUAAAAAAAAAA